rnacentral:lncRNA from 1 species
AUGCACCACAAUAGGUUUGUUCAAUUACGAGUUGAUGGAUGGGUUUGUUUUUUUCCAGUUUGGGACUAUCAUGAAUACAUCUGCCUGGGACAUUUGCGUACAGGUCUUUGCGUGGAUCUAUCUUUUCAUUUCUCUAAAUACCUGAGUGGAAUUGUUGGAUCAUAUGAAUGCCCACUCUGGGAGAAGCCAGUUGCCAUGACAUCCAACUAUGCCAAGACCAUAUGCUAUGAGAAAGUCCAAAGAAGCCAUAUAGAGGAGCUGCAUGGAGAAAAAGAGAGAGAGAGAGCUGACCAGCCACGAUCUGUUCCAGCCAUUCCAGCCCAGACGCCAGCCAUAUGAGUGAAAGAAGCCAUCUUGAAUGUCCAGUCCAGCCAAGCUUUCAGAGGACUCCAGCCCCAACCACCCUCUGAUUACAAUUCUACAAGGGUCUGAAAGGUAGAACUACCCAUCAGAAUCAACCCCAAGAACCAUGAGGGACAAUAAAUGGUUGUUUUAAGUCCCUGAGUUUUGGAGUGGUUUGUUAUGCAGCAAUAGCUAACUGGCACAUGGAUGGUGCUCAGGUUUGGGGUCUGCCGACUUGGAAAGGUGGUAAGCCUGGGAACAAGAGAGAGGGCUGCUGGCUGUUGUCAUGUUCCUUCUUUUUCCUUCUACAUUCAAACUCCCUGGAUAUCAUCUUAUAUCCUUACACUGUCAGUGCCAGAAUUGUGGGUGGCUAUGAGAAAACGGAGACUGGCAAGAAACAGGAACUGAGAAAGUCAAAGCAGAUGCCAGGCCCAGGAAUGAGCCCAACUCCAACAAAAUAUUAGGAACAGUAAUUCUUUACAUGUUAACAGUCCUUUGCAGUUUCUAAAGCACCCUGAGAUGUGUUAUUUGACCCUCAUAUCAGCUAGGGGAUAUGAG